UCUGGUUCUUGCUUUCAAAUCUCUACAUAAUGCUGCUCCCACCUAUCUAUCCUCCCUUAUACACAAGUAUGUCCCGUCUAGGCCCUUACGAUCUGCUGAAGACUUACGUCUAUCUUCUGUCCGUACUCCCACCUCUGAUGCUCGCCUUCAAGAUUUCUCGAGGGCUGCACUGUUCCUGUGGAACUCGCUUCCCUCCUCUGUUAGAUGCUCACCCAGUCUCCACUCCUUCAAAAAAUCGUUAAAAACCCACUUCUUCAUAAAAGCGUAUCAAUUAAAUUAAUAGCUCCUGACUGAUUCCUCUUCUGCAACUGUCACUAGUCUAAGACUAUCCUUACCUUUUUGUGUAAUUUUACCCCACUCCCUCUAGCAUGUAAGCUCAUUGAGCAGGG